rnacentral:rRNA from 1 species
AGUUUUCUGCCUGUCUCGUGGGCUCGGAGAUGUGUAUCAGAGUCAGAGCUAGUAAGAUCCCUGAAAGAUGAUCAGGUUGAUAGGUCAGAGGUGGAAGCGUGGCGACAUGUGUAGCUGACUGAUACUAAUCGAUCGAGGACUUAACCAA